rnacentral:tRNA from 1 species
GGAAAUGUGGCUUAGUGGUAGAGUGUUUGCCUAGAAGGCAUGAAGCCCCAGGUUCAAUUCCUCAUUACCA